rnacentral:rRNA from 1 species
GACGAACGCUGGCGGCGUGCCUAAUACAUGCAAGUCGAACGAAGCUUUUUUAACUGGUGCUUGCACCGACUUAAACAACUGAGUGGCGAACGGGUGAGUAACACGUGGGUAACCUGCCCCAAAGCGGGGGAUAACAUUUGGAAACAGAUGCUAAUACCGCAUAACCACAGAAACCACAUGGUUUCUGUGUCAAAGAUGGUUUCGGCUAUCACUUUGGGAUGGACCCGCGGCGUAUUAGCUAGUUGGUAAGGUAAUGGCUUACCAAGGCAAUGAUCCGUGGCCGAACUGAGAGGUUGAUCGGCCACAUUGGGACUGAGACACGGCCCAAACUCCUACGGGAGGCAGCAGUAGGGAAUCUUCCACAAUGGACGAAAGUCUGAUGGAGCAACGCCGCGUGAGUGAAGGAGGUUUUCGGAUCGUAAAACUCUGUUGUCAGAGAAGAACGUGUGCGAGAGUAACUGUUCGUGCAGUGACGGUAUCUGGCCAGAAAGCCACGGCUAACUACGUGCCAGCCGCCGCAGUAA